GCAGCCAAACAGCCUCCUGGCCGCUAAUAUGAAGACAACAAUAAUAUUUUUUUUAGUUUAAUCCCAAACCAAACUCAACUUCUGCUCUCUCUCGAUUACUCUCUGGUCAUCGGAGAAAACCGCAAACCAUCGGAGCUCAACCGGAGUCCACCGGAGCCGCCCGAAGUUCGCGACGGUAUCUCAACACCCUCAUACACUCUCCAACUCUCUGUCUUCUAUAACAUAAUCGCCGGAAUACACACCUCGUUUUAAUCUCGAGUCGCCGCCGAAGGUUCCCACAACUCGUCAGAGUUCCUUUGAUCCGUCGGAGAAUAACGAACCUUACCGGAGGUGCUUUAACGCUGCCCGAGGAGCCUACACGUGUGGGAGUUGCAGCGGACUCACCGGAGACCUACCGGAGCUCGGAGACGACAUCGCGACGAGAACCAUUCACGGCUUUGGAUAAUCGCUUUGCUUGUUCUCUUGGAUUUUCUCCAAUCUUUACUCGUGCGUUCAUGUACACAAACACAACCAAUGUUUAAUGAAGUUUAAGGAGCUUUUCGGGAGCUUUGCGGGUCACCGGAUCGAAAACCGGAGCACCGGGAUGCGUUACGGAUCAACCGGGAGUGAUGGAGCGAAAAAACAAGAAUCGUGCAAACAAGAGCCCGUCGCCGACGGCCAGGAACCCGUCGGCGACGCCUUCUGGAAUUGCCCGUCGCCACCAAAAUCGCGUAUACAGGUGAUUUAGCCGUCGGACGCAGGAGACAAAACCAAAGCCCGUCGCCGACGGGUUGAGGGCCGUCGGUGACGGCUUGUCAAAAGCAGAAACGCGAAUUUGGGGUUUUGAGGUGUUGGGAUCGAUUCUUAUUGGAGGUUGACUAUUCAAUUCGGGGGUUACACUUUUGGGGGAGUUUGAAUCUUGAUUUUGGAGCCUUGUUCACCAACAAUUCCACCUACCAUUCCAUCUAUCAACAUCUCCUACCCGAAUCAAGAAUCAUCCAUCAUCAUUCAAGGCAAUCUUGAUUCCUAACCCUAGUUCACCCAAUCAUUCACCAUUCCACCAUCACCAUCCAUCACCAACCUUCAUCAUUCAUCAAUCAUCCAAUCAAGCUUCAAGAUGACUCCAUCCGCAUUCCAAACAUCCGGUGAUCAAGUUGCAUCAACCAUGAGCGGCUAAUCAUCUCGGUUUCACCCCGGUGUAGGUAGUUGUUAA